rnacentral:rRNA from 1 species
GAUGAACGCUGGCGGCGUGCCUAAUACAUGCAAGUAGAGCGAACAGACGAGGCCCUUGCUCCUCUGACGUUAGCGGCGGACGUGUGAGUAACACGUGGAUAACCUAGCUAUAAGACUGGGAUAACUUCGGGAAACCGGAACUAAUACCGGAUAAUAUAAUAAUCUUCAUGGUUCCAUAGUGAAAGACGGUUAUGUUCUAACUUAUAGCUGCAUGCUCGACGCAUUAGGUAGUUGGUAAGGUAACGGCUUACGAAGGCGACGAUGCGUAGCCGACCUGAGAGGGUGAUCGGCAACACUGGAACUGGGACACGGUCCAGACUCCUACGGGAGGAAGAGGAAGGGAAUCUUCCGCAAUGGGCGAAGUCCUGACGGAGCAACCCCGCGUGAGUGAUGAAGGUCUUCGGAUCGUAAACCUCUGUUAAUGGGGAGGAACAAAUGUGUAAGUAACAAUGCACGUCUUGACGGUACCUAAUCAGAAAGCCACGGCUAACUACGUG